rnacentral:lncRNA from 1 species
UGGGCAUUGUGGAGGUAAGACGUGUGUGCGGCAAGAACUGUUUCUGCCGACUGCGUUGUUGUUGGUGUCAUUCCUCUCGUGGCGUCGUUGCUGCUGUUGUAGUGUACAACAAGGGAGAAGGUCGGGUCAUGCCGGCCAACCCCUCAACAUGGGCAAACAAGUCUAUCGUCAGUCAGGAGAUUGAGCGCGUCCCGCCACAAGUCUGGUACCGGCCUCCCUACAUCUGCGCACUAUCAACUUAGUGGAUCAUACCGGUUUCACCCUAGGUAACUCCUCGGCCACAGCGGCGAUAGAGUCCGACCUGUACUCGCCCAAGCGUCUGAAGCUCCGGCAUCCUGCUCCUCCUGCUCUGACCAUGUGAAAGCAGUCUAGUUUUCCUCUACAGAAGAGGACGCAGACUACGGAGGGGUGCGGUCCUCCACAUUGGAGGCAUAGGUUAUCGGGAAUUGUUCGGUCUUCGUGUUCAAGGUAAUGUAGCGAUGGUGAUAGAAGCUAAACUCGUAAGGUUCGUUUCCGGAAUAGAAUGAGGAAUACCGGGUAAGUUUUGAAAGUGAGGCUUGGAGAUAACCGUUACCAAUAAGUGUUUCAAAGAGCGGGUAAAUUGAAUUAUUUAACGGGGGACGCACACGCACAUAGCCUACUUUUAUUCAUGAUAGAAGUGUAAAGAGGUAUUUUAUGUUGCAGACCCUGCCACUACUGAAGGGAGAACCAGACCAGCGUAUCCUAACACCCAACCUGCGGCAGAAAAGUAGCUCUUGCACUGGAAGACGAACGGUCUCGCUGCCCCUUCUAUGGAGGAAUUGGAUCCUGCCUCGCACCAGCUGUAUCCUGAUCACGUGGUGCCAUCCAAGGAGGGAGGACACGUCUCGCUGCACCUUACAUGGGGGCAUUGGACUCUGCUUCGCCCUAGCUCUGCAUUGACAUGUGGUGCCGUCCAGGGAGGGAGGACACUGCCUCGCUACACCUUCCCUGUCGGAAUUGGACCCUACCCCGACAACACGUGGUACCAUCUAGGGAGGGAUGACAGACUACCUUGCUUCAUCUGACCAAACCAAUACAUGUUGUCAAUCA